rnacentral:lncRNA from 1 species
GCACAAAUGUAAAACCCAGUUAUCACGUUUCCAGUCACAGCUGCAGCGCUGGUAGAAAAUUGUGUCACGGUUAUUUAAUGAAAUGCGAUGAACGCGACCGUUGCCCGCAAAACUGCACAUGCGUAGAUCAUGGUGGGUGGCAACAAUUCGAUGAAAAAUUCUGUGAAGACAAUCACUGAGGAAAGUAUGUGAGGUGAAAUUAAAUAAACAAUCAAGAAUUAUUUGGUGACU